CGUUAUGGCGGUUCGGGUGAGGGCCCCGCAAGGGGCGCUGGACUCCAAGGUCUCCAGUUACGCCAACCUCGUCCGGGCUGCCACCAGA
rnacentral:antisense_RNA from 19 species